rnacentral:ncRNA from 9 species
CGGCGGGAGUAACUAUGACUCUCUU